rnacentral:rRNA from 1 species
AAAUUGAAGAGUUUGAUCAUGGCUCAGAUUGAACGCUGGCGGCAGGCCUAACACAUGCAAGUCGAGCGGAAACGAGUUAUCAGAACCUUCGGGGGACGAUAGCGGCGUCGAGCGGCGGACGGGUGAGUAAUGCCUAGGAAAUUGCCCUGAUGUGGGGGAUAACCAUUGGAAACGAUGGCUAAUACCGCAUGAUGCCUACGGGCCAAAGAGGG